rnacentral:rRNA from 1 species
UACGUAGGGGGCUAGCGCUGUCCGGAUUUAUUGGGCGUAAAGAGCGUGUAGGCGGCCAGGUAGGUCUGCUGUGAAAACUCGAGGCUUAACCUCGAGAUGUCAGCGGAAACCAUCUGGCUAGAGUCCGGAAGAGGAGAGUGGAAUUCCUGGUGUAGCGGUGAAAUGCGCAGAUAUCAGGAAGAACACCCGUGGCGAAGGCGGCUCUCUGGGACGGUACUGACGCUGAGACGCGAAAGCGUGGGGAGCGAACAGG